CAGCAGCCGCGGUAAUACGAAGGGGGCUAGCGUUGCUCGGAAUGACUGGGCGUAAAGGGCGCGUAGGCGGUCUUGACAGUCAGAUGUGAAAUUCCUGGGCUUAACCUGGGGGCUGCAUUUGAGACGUCAAGACUAGAGUGUGAGAGAGGGUUGUGGAAUUCCCAGCGUAGAGGUGAAAUUCGUAGAUAUUGGGAAGAACACCGGUGGCGAAGGCGGCAACCUGGCUCAUUACUGACGCUGAGGCGCGAAAGCGUGGGGAGCAAACAGGAUUAGAUACCCCCGUAGUCCCUGUCUCUUAUAC
rnacentral:rRNA from 1 species